rnacentral:rRNA from 1 species
GUUUAGAGUAAUUUGCUUAAGGAUGCCUGAUAUCGGAUAUUAAGCAGGGUCAGGCCUGGUUAGUACAUGGAGAGACUGCCUGGGAAUACCAGGUGCUGUAAGCU